GGAGAACUCCAUGCUUCCAAAAUCGUGUUAACCAGCAAGAAUGAAGGUCAGGAGCCUCCAGUAAACUAAUCCCAGGCUUGCUCUUAGGUGCUGUGGCCAGAUUGGCUCCUAGUAAACAAGGCUCACGGGACUUCGUGAUGGACAGGGAAGCCUGGCGGGGCUGCAGUCCAUGGGGUCGCAAAGAGUCAGACGUGACUGAGCGACUGAACUGAACUGAAGGGGAACAUAAUCGUCUUUUACGGAUUGUCUCCUAGUAAACAAGUCUCACCUAAACCCUUUCUGCUGUUGCUAUAAAUCACCCCACGCUACCUGCCUCUUUUGGUUAGCAAUAAAAAGUUGGAUAACCUUUUAAAAACUUCUGCUGCUGGAUACAGGCC
ensembl:lncRNA